GAAUGAGGCUUCCUGCUCAGCUCCUGGGGCUGCUGAUGCUCUGGAUCCCUGGGUCCACUGGAGAUGUGGUGAUGACCCAGACCCCACACACUCUGUCCAUCACCCCUGGAGAGUCGGCCUCCAUCUCCUACAGAGCCAGUCAGAGCCUCGUACACAGUGAUGGAAACACUUAUUUGAACUGGAUGGUACACAAGCCAGGCCAGGCUCCAAGAGGCCUGAUUUACAAAAUUUCCAACCGAAAUUCAGGCAUCCCAGACAGGUUCAGUGGCAGUGGGGCAGGCACAGAUUUCACACUCAGAAUUAGCAAGCUGGAGCCUGAGGAUGCUGGAAUUUAUUACUGUUGGCAAGGUACACAUUUUCCUCCCACAGUGAUACAGCCCCGAACACAAACCUCCCUGCCUGGGGAGGCCCAGCUGCCCUCUGUGCUGUGUCUGGGGAGCAGCACUGCAGAGUCUCUGAGUCCCUGUGAGAGGAAGAGGUUGAAGAACUCAGAGGUGCAAAGUGCAGCUAUGGCCUCUGCCCAGGCCUGA